GCCUGUGUGGUGUAGUGGUUCAAGCAUUGGACUAUGACUCUGGAGACCAAGGUUUGACUCCCUGCUUGGCCA
rnacentral:tRNA from 1 species